GCCUACAUAAGCCUGAUAAACUGUAAAAAUGGAAAUCUGGCCUGUGGCUUGAGGUGGGCACCCUGUGAAGGAGUAGAGCCUUUCAGCACCCAGGGAUCACUCAUUCCUGUAUCAGGACCACACUGUGCUAUCAUGUGUGGCAUCUUCAGCUUCAUUCAGUCCUCAGUAAGCUGUGAGGACCUGUGCCCAUGGCUGUGGACUUCACAGUGUGGCUGUCAGCUUGUCCCCCUAAGUCACAGAUUUAAAGUAUUUGUUAGAAAAAUUAAAAUUUAAAGCAAACUCUCAACCAUAAAGAUUAUUUCAGUAGACCCACUCCACUAGAACUUGCAGAUCUGAAUUUCCUUCCAGCUGAGAUAUUUCCCUGUGGCCACCUUUUGGGGAUUGGUUUAGAUCUGCUCAGCUCAGGGUUGGCUCCCCUUGGGACAGCCUUGCCCAGUUAAUUUUUGCUGGAAGCUCAGCUUGAAUGCCUGAUGUGCGUGUCACUAACUACCCACUCUCUCUUUUUGUGCCUCGACAUAGAGUUAAUGUGGGCUGUGGGCCUGCAGAAGAGCGAGUGUUGCUAACAGGACUGCAUGCAGUCGCAGACAUUUACUGUGAAAACUGCAAAACCACUCUGGGCUGGAAAUACGAACAUGCUUUUGAAAGCAGCCAGAAAUAUAAAGAAGGCAAAUACAUCA
rnacentral:sRNA from 1 species